GGAAGCGCCGCGGCCCCGGGAACCCAGAUUCUCCUCGGGACGCUUCCCGCCCCGCGGAGCCGGCUCAACAGUUUGCAUUUCAGUCUGCAAAUGCUUGGUACGACCACAGUUGAAGAAGUAGUGAAGUUGCCUAGUGCCCGAGCCUGGGCAGGGAAGCACCUGACCUUGACGGCCGCCCACUGUUACGUCUCGGCUACCGACCCAGAGCAGCUCAGCCAGCGGGGGCGUGAUUUUCCAAACCGGUCUUGGAACCACCACGCAUUGACACCAUGGAUAAUUACGAUCUGAUCAAGGCCAUUGGGGAAGGUGCCUUCGGGAAAGCAUUCUUGGCUAAAGGGAAAUCAGAUAGCAAGCACUGUGUUAUAAAAGAGAUCGAUUUUGCGAAGGUAAAGUGACGAAGUUCACAUUCCUGUUCAUUUUCAGUAAUAUAUU